CCUACGGGAGGCAGCAGUGAGGAAUAUUGGUCAAUGGGCGCGAGCCUGAACCAGCCAAGUAGCGUGAAGGAUGACUGCCCUACGGGUUGUAAACUUCUUUUAUAAAGGAAUAAAGUGAGGCACGUGUGCCUUUUUGUAUGUACUUUAUGAAUAAGGAUCGGCUAACUCCGUGCCAGCAGCCGCGGUAAUACGGAGGAUCCGAGCGUUAUCCGGAUUUAUUGGGUUUAAAGGGAGCGUAGAUGGGUUGUUAAGUCAGUUGUGAAAGUUUGCGGCUCAACCGUAAAGUUGCAAUUGAUACUGGCAGUCUAGAGGACAGGUGGGGUAGGCGGAAUUCGUAGUGUAGCGGUGAAAUGCAUAGAUAUCACGAAGAACUCCGAGUGCGAAGGCAGCUUACUAGACUGCCACUGACAUUGAUGCUCGAAAGUGUGGGGAGCAAACAGGAUUAGAUACCCUGGUAGUC
rnacentral:rRNA from 1 species